UUUAUGGAACCAGGAUAUACAUACAACACAAUGGCAAGUAACUACUCAACCAAAUUUUAUUACGAAAACUAAACCAACGCAUUGGGAAAGUCAAUCAUCCCGUCCAAAGCCAAAACCAACAAAGAAAAAACCAAUUGUUUCCACUCUACCACAUUUUGUAAAACAGCCAACAUUACCAUCAACUUCUCCAGCGACAAAUAUUUUGAACACAUUUUCUCAAUCGAUUAAACCAAAGCCAUCUGAGAACACUUAUUCAAAUUUCUCAAAACCUACAAUAGCAUCAACAAUAUUAAUACAGCGGACAACCCAAAAACCAAUUAUAUCCAACAAAUUUUCGACAAAACCACCGCAAAAAACUACAAGCUUUAUAAGAUUUCCUAUAAAGUCAACAACAACAGAACAUCCAAGUAGCACUAAUCAACAAAUUCUUUCAACCGAAGAUGAAAAUACAAUAUCUAGUGAAACUACGAUUCACGAUUCAAAUGAUAUAAUAAACGAAGGUGAUAAAAUUUAG